CCCUUAGAUGUUCUGGGCCGCACGCGCGCUACACUGACGAAUGCAACGAGCUUAUAACCUUGGCCGAUAGGUCUGGGUAAUCUUUGAACGCUGUUCGUGAUUGGGAUAGACCUUUGCAAUUAUGGGUCUUCAACGAGGAAUUCCUAGUAAACGCAAGUCAUCAGCUUGCAUUGAUUACGUCCCUGCCCUUUGUACACACCGCCCGUCGCACCUACCGAUUGAAUGGUCCGGUGAAAUCUCGGGACGGCGGCUUGGUCGCUUGCGUCCGACUGCUGAAACUUGAUUAAACCAUAUCAUUUAGAGGAAGGUGAANUCGUAACA
rnacentral:rRNA from 1 species